rnacentral:rRNA from 1 species
AACGAACGCUGGCGGCAGGCCUAACACAUGCAAGUCGAGCGGGGGAGCAAUCCCUAGCGGCGGACGGGUUAGUAACGCGUGGGAACGUGCCCAAAGGUACGGAAUAGCCUCGGGAAACUGAGAGUAAUACCGUAUGUGCCCUUCGGGGGGAAGAUUUAUCGCCUUUGGAUCGGCCCGCGUUGGAUUAGGUAGUUGGUGGGGUAAUGGCCUACCAAGCCGACGAUCCAUAGCCGGUUUGAGAGGAUGAUCAGCAACACUGGGACUGAGACACGGCCCAGACUCCUACGGGAGGCAGCAGUGGGGAAUCUUAGACAAUGGGGGAAACCCUGAUCUAGCCAUGCCGCGUGAGCGAUGAAGGCCUUAGGGUUGUAAAGCUCUUUCAGCUGGGAAGAUAAUGACGGUACCAGCAGAAGAAGCCCCGGCUAACUCCGUG